rnacentral:rRNA from 1 species
AGUGACCUCUGGCGGCAGGCCUAACACAUGCAAGUCGAACGGUAACAGGAAGCAGCUUGCUGCUUCGCUGACGAGUGGCGGACGGGUGAGUAAUGUCUGGGAAACUGCCUGAUGGAGGGGGAUAACUACUGGAAACGGUAGCUAAUACCGCAUAACGUCGCAAGACCAAAGAGGGGGACCUUCGGGCCUCUUGCCAUCGGAUGUGCCCAGAUGGGAUUAGCUAGUAGGUGGGGUAACGGCUCACCUAGGCGACGAUCCCUAGCUGGUCUGAGAGGAUGACCAGCCACACUGGAACUGAGACACGGUCCAGACUCCUACGGGAGGCAGCAGUGGGGAAUAUUGCACAAUGGGCGCAAGCCUGAUGCAGCCAUGCCGCGUGUAUGAAGAAGGCCUUCGGGUUGUAAAGUACUUUCAGCGGGGAGGAAGGGAGUAAAGUUAAUACCUUUGCUCAUUGACGUUACCCGCAGAAGAAGCACCGGCUAACUCCGUGCCAGCAGCCGCGGUAAUACGGAGGGAGCAAGCGUUAAUCGGAAUUACUGGGCGUAAAGCGCACGCAGGCGGUUUGUUAAGUCAGAUGUGAAAUCCCCGGGCUCAACCUGGGAACUGCAUCUGAUACUGGCAAGCUUGAGUCUCGUAGAGGGGGGUAGAAUUCCAGGUGUAGCGGUGAAAUGCGUAGAGAUCUGGAGGAAUACCGGUGGCGAAGGCGGCCCCCUGGACGAAGACUGACGCUCAGGUGCGAAAGCGUGGGGAGCAAACAGGAUUAGAUACCCUGGUAGUCCACGCCGUAAACGAUGUCGACUUGGAGGUUGUGCCCUUGAGGCGUGGCUUCCGGAGCUAACGCGUUAAGUCGACCGCCUGGGGAGUACGGCCGCAAGGUUAAAACUCAAAUGAAUUGACGGGGGCCCGCACAAGCGGUGGAGCAUGUGGUUUAAUUCGAUGCAACGCGAAGAACCUUACCUGGUCUUGACAUCCACGGAAGUUUUCAGAGAUGAGAAUGUGCCUUCGGGAACCGUGAGACAGGUGCUGCAUGGCUGUCGUCAGCUCGUGUUGUGAAAUGUUGGGUUAAGUCCCGCAACGAGCGCAACCCUUAUCCUUUGUUGCCAGCGGUCCGGCCGGGAACUCAAAGGAGACUGCCAGUGAUAAACUGGAGGAAGGUGGGGAUGACGUCAAGUCAUCAUGGCCCUUACGACCAGGGCUACACACGUGCUACAAUGGCGCAUACAAAGAGAAGCGACCUCGCGAGAGCAAGCGGACCUCAUAAAGUGCGUCGUAGUCCGGAUUGGAGUCUGCAACUCGACUCCAUGAAGUCGGAAUCGCUAGUAAUCGUGGAUCAGAAUGCCACGGUGAAUACGUUCCCGGGCCUUGUACU